AGCUGCAUGGCCGAGAGGUGAGGUAAAGGUCUGCAAAACCUUUUACGCCGGUUCGAUUCCGGCUGCAGCGUCAA
rnacentral:tRNA from 1 species